rnacentral:rRNA from 1 species
UACGUAGGGAGCAAGCGUUGUUCGGAAUCAUUGGGCGUAAAGCGCGUGUAGGCGGCUUGGCAAGUCCGUUGUGAAAGCCCACAGCUUAACUGUGGAACUGCGACGGAAACUGCUUUGCUAGAGUGCGGGAGAGGAGAGUGGAAUUCCCAGUGUAGAGGUGAAAUUCGUAGAUACUGGGAGGAACACCGGUGGCGAAGGCGGCUCUCUGGACCGCUACUGACGCUGAGACGCGAAAGCUAGGGGAGCAAACGGGAUUAGAUACCCCCGUA